UCUAGAACUCGAGAUAUGGGCUGAACACUGAACAGUGUCUGGGCUGCAGGACAGAUUCGGACUUCUUCUUUGUUGCUACAAUUUGGACUUAAAAAUGGCCUUGUUAGAUCUUGGACUCCCAUGAAAGUUGUAGGCCUAUGUCUUACCUUUCCAUC
rfam:Populus trichocarpa scaffold_10_contig_134, whole genome shotgun sequence.